UACAGAGGUCCCGAGCGUUGUUCGGAUUCACUGGGCGUAAAGGGUGCGUAGGUGGCGAGGUAAGUCGGAUGUGAAAUCUCGGAGCUCAACUCCGAAACUGCAUUGGAAACUACCUGGCUAGAGGUUUGGAGGGGGGACUGGAAUUCCUGGUGUAGCGGUGGAAUGCGCAGAUAUCAGGAGGAACACCGGUGGCGAAGGCGGGUCUCUGGGCAGUAACUGACGCUGAGGAGCGAAAGCGUGGGGAGCGAACAGG
rnacentral:rRNA from 1 species